rnacentral:lncRNA from 1 species
ACCUCUGGUUCUAAGGACAGGUGGUCACCCCCAAAAUAAAGAGGUGAAACGAAGAGACCAAAGUGUCCCCCACAGAGCUUUCAGGCCCAGACUCACCCUGACCCUCACGGCCACCCAUCAGAGGUGGCGCUGCCCCCGCGGGUGCUCGCCCAGGGCCAGGCACUGAGCAAGUGCUUCCCACACCUGUCUCACUGGUCCUCCCCGUACCCAGAUACCCACGGUCGCUGGUGUUGGGGGGUGAAUUUUAACAAGGUCCCUCUUUAGGCUAAAGGAUUAAAAAAAGGUGCUGCCCAGGAGGGCACGGGGUAUGGCGCGCAGAAGGCCUCUUUGUGAUUUAAAAAAAGGCAUCUCCUACAGCCCAUUGGCCAGGGCCUCAAGCAGCACCCUGGCUUUGCGCAAGCUGUUACUCCCUCCAUCUUCCCUGAGGGAUGCAGAGGAAGGGGAACCCACCUGAGGUCACAGCUAGUCAGUCACCACAUGUGGGAUUUGAACCCAGGUCUUGAAAACCUAGGUGAAACUUUGCUCUUCGGCUUCCAAAGGUUCAUGCACUGGCGCGCCUUCAACCAGAUGUGUAUUCACAGUAUGCAAGCUGGAGGGGCCUGGGGCAAGCCUAGGGAUACUGACAUUCUCUUGAAGGGUCUUCCAGUCUCAGAGGAAAUGCCCCACCUUCAAGGAAGGGGGAAAGAACUGUGUCCUCUGGAGCUUCAGUCUGAGGAGGGAGAUAUAGCCCACCUCAAGAAGAUCAGUCUGAGGGGGGAGACAAGGCCUGUCCUCAGGGAGCCCAGUCUGAGGGGGCAGACUUGGCCUGUCCUCAGAGAGCAUAAUCUGAGAGAGGAGACAUGGCCUGUCCACAGGGAGCCCAGUCUGAGGGGAAACACUUGGUCUGCCCUCAGGGAGCAGAGUCUGAGUGGGGAGACAUGCCCUGUCCACAGGGAGCCCAGUCUGAAUGGGGAGACAUAACCUGUCCUCAGGGAGCCCAGUCUGAGUGGGGAGACAUAACCUGUCCUCAGGGAGCCCAGUCUGAGGGGCAGACUUGGCCUGUCCUCAGAGAGCAUAAUCUGAGAGAGGAGACAUGGCCUGUCCACAGGAGCCCAGUCUGAGGGAAACACUUGGUCUGCCCUCAGGAAGCAGAGUCUGAGUGGGGAGACAUGCCCUGUCCACAGGGAGCCCAGUCUGAGUGGGGAGACAUAACCUGUCCUCAGGGAGCCCAGUCUGAGAGGGGAGACAUGGCCUGUCCACAGAGAGCCCAGACUGAGGGCACAGCAUGAGGGACUGGACAUACUU